rnacentral:tRNA from 1 species
AUUCUAAUAGCUUAUUUAGAGCAUAAUAUUGAAGAUAUUAAGGAAAUUUUUAUUUUAGGAUA